CCUACGGGCGGCAGCAGUGGGGAAUAUUGGACAAUGGGGGGAACCCUGAUCCAGCCAUGCCGCGUGUGUGAAGAAGGCCCUCGGGUUGUAAAGCACUUUCAGUGAGGAAGAACGCCUGGUGGUUAAUACCCAUCAGGAAAGACAUCACUCACAGAAGAAGCACCGGCUAACUCCGUGCCAGCAGCCGCGGUAAUACGGAGGGUGCGAGCGUUAAUCGGAAUUACUGGGCGUAAAGCGCGCGUAGGUGGCUUGAUAAGCCGGUUGUGAAAGCCCCGGGCUCAACCUGGGAACGGCAUCCGGAACUGUCAAGCUAGAGUGCAGGAGAGGAAGGUAGAAUUCCCGGUGUAGCGGUGAAAUGCGUAGAGAUCGGGAGGAAUACCAGUGGCGAAGGCGGCCUUCUGGACUGACACUGACACUGAGGUGCGAAAGCGUGGGUAGCAAACAGGAUUAGAUAUCCGAGUAGUC
rnacentral:rRNA from 1 species